AGUACUUCCUAUCUAGUAGCAACAGUCUGUUCCUGAACAGUUUUCAAGAAAAAUAUAUCACAACAAAGGCGUUAUUAUUCAGACUCUCUUACCUGAAUGAAGGAGGAAGUAUUGUUUUUUAAGGAAACAGAAGACAUGGAAAGAUAACCAGAACAAGAUGUUUUGAAAUUUCCCCUAGAAGAAAACCAAAAGAAGGGAAAUGAAAUAGUUACCAAAAAUACAAUUCAAGAUAAAAACCAAACAAAGCAAAACAAAAACCUUGUUUGUUUUCUAACGCAAAAGAGCAAGAAAGCCUACAAAUCCCUAGAUCUAAGUGAAGUGGCGAUGUCAUAUAUGAUAAGGCUCCGUGAAUUCCAUCCUCAACAUGGUCAUGGAAAACUUGUACUCCAACCUUUUGAAGUCUUGAAACAUACAUGAUCCCAUCGUCUCUCAGGACAUCAUGUUGACAGGAAUGAUACCAGAGGAACAGACCUGACAGAACUAAGAACUGCAACAGCUACUCCUCACCACAGAGCCAAGCAUGCUGUACCUGUUGUGUCACCGCUGCAGCCAGAGUUCCUCCAGAACUGUCUCCUGACACAGCAAUUCGGGUAGGAUCUACUCCAUACUUUGUUAGAAUUUUAUCCUGAAGAAAAAACUUGACGGCUGUGAUACCAUCUUCAAAUUGUGCAGGGAAGUGAUGUUGAGGCGCUAGCCUGUAGCUUUAACACAGACCAGGAAAGCACACAGAGCGUAAGUGUACAACAACCAACAACGUCUUAAACAUCUAACACAUGCACCAUGACACCAAGUCCUACAGUUCAGUUUUUAAAACUUGAUCUAGGGUUUUCUUCUAAGUAUUGACUAGAAUAAAAGUUAAUAUAAAAUUAUUUAAAACAUGUAAUUAAGA